rnacentral:misc_RNA from 1 species
CAAAUCUUGUCCAUCACUGAGGAAUUUAGAGCCUAUAAUUUGACUUUCGUUACGCUUCUGCGAAUAUAUUUUAUCAUAACUUUGGCUUUUUCUCCUUCCAAAUUCUCUCCUUCAAUAUAAUUCUGCGAUAUACAGGAUGUUCCAUGGUAGAAAAUAACAUAUGGACCAAUUUACGUUACCUAAGGUGAGGUUAGUUUCGCUAUGAAAACAAUGUAUUUUCGGAAUUUUUGUAUCGUCACUCGUAGUACGUUUGAUACCAUUAAGAUACGGUUCAAAACAUUUUUAUUACAUGGCCGCAAAUGGCAGAAAAGAUACGAGACGUGUUACGCGGUACACCUCGUAUGUUUACACCUGGAAAUCUCAACGAACGAAAUAUAACAGCUUUCUUUGUUAUAACAGAAGCGCCUUCACACGUAAAAUUCUGUAAGGGUGGCGAUCCCCAUCUAUACACUAAAGCUAGCAAUUGGUUAUUCUGUGAUUACUUUUCUAAUUGAUAAUAAUCGAUUGAAACUAUUAAAGUCAAUUAUUAAAAGUAAUCAUGGUAAUCAUAACUAUUAAUCAAUCAAUCGUCCUUGAAUAAGUCAGUGAUGUUGAUUAAUCUUGUAAUCGUUAAUCCGUAAUUUAUAAUCGUUGAAUGAAUGAUUAAUUUACUUUUCACUAGCAUUAACGCUAUCCUUAUUUAUUAUCGCUUCUUAGUAUCACCUAUUGUUAAGCGAGUAAACGGACAUAAAUAUUAUCGUUGAUAUUUUCAAUUAAAACAAAAAAAAAAACAUACAG